rnacentral:sRNA from 1 species
UUGAGCGGUAAGACCGUUGUGGGUUGUCUGUGGUGUUCCCAUCCAUCGGUUGGCUAUAGUUACAGCGUAACAAGCCCGCAGGGCGCGCUCUUUU